GCGGGUAUGGUGGAAUAGGCAGACACAAGAGACUUAAAAUCUCUCGGGAGCAAUCCCGUGCCGGUUCAAGUCCGGCUACCCGCA
rnacentral:tRNA from 5 species